GUUAUUCAAUGGGCAGCCAAGUUCCACAGCUCUUUUACCAGCAUCUCCUAAGACUAGAGGUUAAAUAACUCUUUUCUGAUGCUGUAAAGAAAGACUCUCCUACGGUAUUUUCCUCGCUUUCCUAGCCCAGCUGGCUCUCUUGCCCGAGCCCAUAGCCUGCCAAGCUUGACACAACAAACUAAAAUGAGAAAGGAGAGGAGACCCAAAGACCACUUGAAGAGAAAGCAGGAACUGCCGGACUCCAGCCCUGCAUCUUUUCCAAGCAUGCCACUAAUAACUUCCUCCCUAAACUGGUGACACACACCCUGUAACUUUGUUAGCAGAAGCCAAGCUCAGAAAUGACAUUAUUUCCUAACAGGAUCUGUUGUCACACUGCAACACAUUUUAAAAAGAAAAGGGGAGGAAAUGUCGGAAGACAUCUCUAAAUUUCUCCUGGAAAAUGGGUUUGCUCCCAGCAUUACACAGCUGCACCGUCAGUGAGGCUACCCUGUGUUACUGCUGCCAUCAGAAGCCAGCUUCUCGGCCACCUUCCAAUGUGUGUUGAAGACCAGCGGCUCUCAGGCAUUGUACAGACCUUCAGCCCCAGGCUGAGACUGCGGAAGCUGGCCUCGUGGACAGAGUUGCUCAUGGAUUCUCAGCCUCUCCAGAGUGUGACAGCCAUUGCUGGAUACCCUCCUAUCAAGUCAGGCAGUCUAGUCAGCCCGUCUGUGGUGUGUCCUUUCUACUGGUUCUGCUUGCGCAGAUAAUGGGAACUAUUACACCUGCCUUGUGUGUUUGCGAUCUUAAGACUCCCAUCCUUGUUUUAAUUUUCUAGAGAAAGGGUCAACCUACCUAGCCAACCCAGUGUUCACAACAGAUGGUGGGAAAGAUGAAGCCAAAACUGUCCAGCUGAGCUCAACCUAAAUUGCCAGACCACGCUGGCAAUUACACUCUUUGAAGCCACUAAGGAUGGCUGUGGUUUUAAGCCACUAAGUUUCAGGGUGAUGUAUUACACUGUGAAAGCAAAAUGAUACAUUUAUCUUAUCUUGUUUUCCCUUUCUCUGCAUUCAUCACACUUGACAGAACACAUAUUUCUUCCCAAGAUUUUAGCACAUGUUGGAAAAGGACAUUCGCCAACCAAAGAAAUUAUGCUCCCUCAAACUUGCAGUGUGUGUGUGUGUGUGU